GACGAACGCUGGCGGCGUGCUUAACACAUGCAAGUCGAACGGAAAGGCCCUGCUUUUGUGGGGUGCUCGAGUGGCGAACGGGUGAGUAACACGUGAGUAACCUGCCCUUGACUUUGGGAUAACUUCAGGAAACUGGGGCUAAUACCGGAUAGGAGCUCCUGCUGCAUGGUGGGGGUUGGAAAGUUUCGGCGGUUGGGGAUGGACUCGCGGCUUAUCAGCUUGUUGGUGGGGUAGUGGCUUACCAAGGCUUUGACGGGUAGCCGGCCUGAGAGGGUGACCGGCAACAUUGGGACUGAGAUACGGCCCAGACUCCUACGGGAGGCAGGAGUGGGGAAUAUUGCACAAUGGGCGGAAGCCUGAUGCAGCAACGCCGCGUGCGGGAUGACGGCCUUCGGGUUGUAAACCGCUUUCGCCUGUGACGAAGCGUGAGUGACGGUAAUGGGUAAAGAAACACCGGCUAACUACGU
rnacentral:rRNA from 1 species